rnacentral:tRNA from 1 species
GGUCGAGUUGCUGGCAGGCACUGUCGAGCGAGGCGAUGGCGCUGCCGAAGAUCUUCUGGGUGUAGGCGGCCGGAUCAUCAUCAGCCUCGACCGC